rfam:Moellerella wisconsensis ATCC 35017 Sequence00002, whole genome shotgun sequence.
AAACUCAAUUGUGUAUAACACACACGGGUCGGCACGUACACCGGGGUGCUCUUAUGCGAUUUAUCGCAGCUUUGGAGUCGGUAGUAUGGGAUCCGUGGAGGCAUAAC